AUUGUGUCUUCUCCAAAGAGGUAUGUUGAAGCCCUAACCCACGUACUAGAAUGUGACUGUAUUUGGAGAUAGAACCUUUUAGGAGGUAAUUAAGUCACAAUGGGAUUGUUAGGGUGGGCUGUAAUUCAUUAUGACUGGUGAACUUACAAGAAGAUACAUAUCGGGGGUGCACUGGCACAGAGGAAAGGCCAUGUGAAGCAAGAAGGCAGCCAUCUGCAAGCCAAGGAGAGAAAUUUCAGAAGGAACCAACCCUACCGACAUCUUGAUCUUGGACUUUAAGCUGCCAGACCUGACUGGGAAGCUAAGGGAUUUGCCAAGGCAUGGGGAAAAGAGGAUCUUUAUGUUUGAAGAAUGAUAGAAAAAAUAAAGCUGUUCAUUAUUACAUUCUACCAUGUUUAGCCAAUUAAACAGGUUUUACUGGAGGUGGUUCUGUGGUAAUUAUUCCAUAGGCUUAUCUUGAGUUAGAUCAAGCUUGUCCAAACUGCAGCCCACAGGUUGCAUGUGGCCCAGAACAGCUUUGAAUAUGG
rnacentral:lncRNA from 1 species